AGUGAACGCUGGCGGUAGGCCUAACACAUGCAAGUCGAACGGCAGCACAGUAAGAGCUUGCUCUUACGGGUGGCGAGUGGCGGACGGGUGAGGAAUACAUCGGAAUCUACUUUUUCGUGGGGGAUAACGUAGGGAAACAUACGCUAAUACCGCAUACGACCUACGGGUGAAAGCAGGAGAUAUUCGGACCUUGCGCGAUUGAAUGAGCCGAUGUCGGAUUAGCUAGUUGGCGGGGUAAAGGCCCACCAAGGCGACGAUCCGUAGCUGGUCUGAGAGGAGGAUCAGCCACACUGGAACUGAGACACGGUCCAGACUCCUACGGGAGGCAGCAGUGGGGAAUAUUGGACAAUGGGCGCAAGCCUGAUCCAGCCAUACCGCGUGGGUGAAGAAGGCCUUCGGGUUGUAAAGCCCUUUUGUUGGGAAAGAAAAGCAGCAGGUUAAUACCCCGCUGUUCUGUCGGUACCCAAAGAAUAAGCACCGGCUAACUUCGUG
rnacentral:rRNA from 1 species